AUACGUAGGUGGCAAGCGUUGUCCGGAAUUAUUGGGCGUAAAGCGCGCGCAGGUGGUUCCUUAAGUCUGAUGUGAAAGCCCCCGGCUCAACCGGGGAGGGUCAUUGGAAACUGGGGAACUUGAGUGCAGAAGAGGAUAGUGGAAUUCCAAGUGUAGCGGUGAAAUGCGUAGAGAUUUGGAGGAACACCAGUGGCGAAGGCGACUGUCUGGUCUGUAACUGACACUGAGGCGCGAAAGCGUGGGGAGCAAACAGGAUUAGAUACCCUGGUAGUCCACGCCGUAAACGAUGAGUGCUAAGUGUUGGGGGGUUUCCGCCCCUCAGUGCUGCAGCUAACGCAUUAAGCACUCCGCCUGGGGAGUACGGCCGCAAGGUUGGAACUCAAAUGAAUUGGCGGGG
rnacentral:rRNA from 1 species